rnacentral:tRNA from 2 species
AAGAAAUUAGUUUAUUAAAACAUUAACUUGUCAAGUUAAAAAUACUAUUAGUAUUUCUUA